rnacentral:lncRNA from 1 species
AUGUACAUUACAUUCACUCCACGUAACGUUCCUGAGCGAUGCCUUUGUGAGUGUUUUUUUCCUUCUCGUGAACUAAAAAUAGCAUCCGGGUUUGAUCGCGCUCCAGAAAUAGACAGAGGGUAUCACUUGUAUAAAAAGGAACGUGAUUCUCAGGAAAACUUGGACUCGCUGCCGAGGAUGGGUUCCCUUUCUUGGUAAGUACCAUUUUCACGUGUAACGUUCACGUACCUUCCUCUAUUCAUUUUUUGCAUGCGCGGGAGCACGUAUUUUAUAUUAUGCUGUUUUUGGCUUUGCAUAGGUAUAAGUAUAGGGCAUGCAUGUGUGUGCACGGACCCCUGCGAUUUCAACGAGAAUAGCCAGUUUCUGCAGUAGAGGAAUCACCCUAAUGGUAAAUAUGUGAAUGAGAAGCAACUGCAAACUCCUUUGUCUGACGGCGCUGUUGAGUCUCUUUCCACAUUUCUCUCUCUGCAAGUAUGUUAAGGAAGGGACUGGAAUCCUCCUUUGAUGAAGUAACCAAUUACAUGCUCUCAUAUUUUAAGACAAGGACUAUAAUACAUCGUUGAUGGAAAAACAACAACGGAAAUAUACUGGCGGACUCUGAACUGCAAAAAACGCUGACCGAAUAGGGAGGGGGUUGUAAGGAGCUGUCCAAGCGGUGGUGGUGCUGAAAAUAUGUUUUGAGGCACAGGGAAAUAGGAGGGGAUGGGUUAUCGUGUAGUGUCCUGCAACAAAAUCACGAUUAUCAGGAGAGCAACAAAUAGAUAAAUUAUAGAAUAGAUUGAUAGAAAUGAACAAUGUCUGCUUGUCUGAUGGAAACUAGAGGAGCUAUGGACGACAGCGAGUGUUUGAAACUCGCAAUUAAGUGACAUACGUCGGAAAAGCUCAAGUUGGCUGCUAGUGCAUACAGCAGUUUGCUGAUCUUCCCGCCUGCGAUGUUUGAACUGUAUUAUCAGAUGAUGUGCAGGAAAACAGAGAAGCUAUAGGCGGGCUGACUUCCAUUACUCUUCCGCCCACGUCAUGUAUGUCUUUAGUGCACCAUACUUAGACGAAAUCAUCUUCUACUGGGUGCUCGUCUAAUAGUUUCCACGCACGCCACUCGUGAAGCCUUGAAAGAUAAAUGUGUUUGUCUAUCGUGGAUUCUUCCCUGCAAAAAACCGAUAGAGUCUAAAAGCUUUAAAUGUAAAGCGGUAUCGUAGGCAUCGCCACGCAAAUAGUAAAAUAGAUUAACUCUAUUCUUAAAACGAUCAGAAUGUGAUCAUUAUGUUCUCCAAAAGAAACAGCAGUACCCAUUCAUUUUAACUUUGCGUAGCACUAAUAAGGCGUAAAGAUCUCUAAUCUCAGCCGUACAGUUCGUCAAUGAUUUUAUCCUCACUCACUAGCUAGACAGUCAACGACUGAGCAUCGCUAACAGCUCUGUGCAUUAAUAACUCCCCAGUACCUUCUAAAGUCAGUCCUCUUCUGAAUAAUUCCCAUGAUAUCCAGACAGAAUGAGCUUUUAGGGAAAAAGUUUGUCUGUCUCUGAUCCAAAUAGAUCAUAAAUACAUGGUUUGCUUUGUGAUGUAUGGCCAUGUCCUGUGAGAAGAAACUACAGAGAUCAACUUCUUAAAUCCACUCGUUUUUGUCUAAUGAUCAUAACCUAGACAGAGGUGAUAUCGUCUUAAAUAAUUCAAUGCUGGCGGUGUCAUUUUAGUGGAAACAACACGGCUUCUGGAGUCGUGACUGCUAAAGUGAGUAAUAUGCGCGCGUUGGCUGCGUCAGGAGAGGCAGUCACUGUGCAGUGCAGACGGAGGGGGGGAAUCGUGACUGACUGGAGACGUCCGCAAAUGAAAAGACUAAAUAAAACUCUCAUCAGGAUAUCA